GCGUAAUGAUUUGAGCACUGUCUCGGCAAUAAAUCCGGUGAAAUUGUAGUGCAAGUGAAGAUGCUUGCUACCCGCGGUUGGACGGAAAGACCCCGUAGAGCUUUACUGUAGCUUAGCAUUGAAUUUCGGUAUUGUCUGUACAGGAUAGGUGGGAGACUUAGAAGCGAGGGCGUCAGCUUUCGUGGAGUCGUCCUUGGGAUACCACCCUGACAGUACUGGAAUUCUAACUGGAGGCCAUGAAUCUGGUCACAGGACAUUGCUAGGUGGGCAGUUUGACUGGGGCGGUCGCCUCCUAAAAGGUAACGGAGGCGCCCAAAGGUUCCCUCAGCGCGGUCGGAAAUCGCGCGUAGAGUGCAAAGGCAGAAGGGAGCCUGACUGCGACACAUACAGGUGGAGCAGGGACGAAAGUCGGGCUUAGUGAUCCGGGGGUUCUGUAUGGAAGGGCCAUCGCUCAACGGAUAAAAGCUACCUCGGGGAUAACAGGCUGAUCUCCCCCAAGAGUCCACAUCGACGGGGAGGUUUGGCACCUCGAUGUCGGCUCGUCGCAUCCUGGGGCUGUAGUCGGUCCCAAGGGUUGGGCUGUUCGCC
rnacentral:rRNA from 1 species